rnacentral:tRNA from 1 species
CGACGAGUAGGCCAGCGGCAGACCGCCUCCCUCACACGGAGGACGUCGGGGGUUCGAGUCCCUCCUCGUCGA